GCUUGAUUUUUUAUUUUUUUUUAUUUUAUUUUUUGCCUUUUUGCCAUUUCUUGGGCUGCUCCCACAGUAUAUGGAGGUUCCCAGGCUAGGGGUCGAAUCGGAACUGUAGCCACUGGCCUGCACCACAGCCACAGCAAUGUGGGAUCCGAGCCCGCGUCUGCGACCUACACCACAGCCCACGGCAACGCCGGAUCCUUAACCCACUGAGCGAGGCCAGGAUCAAACCCGCAACCUCAUGGUUCCUAGUUGGAUUCGUUAACCACUGCGCCACAACGGGAACGCCUUGCUUAAUUUCUUUAACCAGGAGAGAUGCUCGUGUGUAAAGGCUUUGCUUUUCAGCUCUCUCUACACCCUGCUUCCAGCGCAGUGAGGCAGAAGAGUGUCAGCUCUGCGAGCUGACAGACACGGGUCCCAAACCAUGGUUCGGUCUCUCCUGGCUGCACAACCUCAGGCAGAUUCCUGAAUCUCUCGGAGCCCGGGUCCUCCUUUGAAAAUUACAUAAGACACCGUGGUCGUCGCAGAGUGUCUGACACAAGGUCCGAACCAUAUGUGCAGUUCCUUCUUCCGUCUUCAAUUUGUCAACAGUUUUUGCUUCGAGACCCCUUUCCCAAGCCCUAGAACCGACACAGAAAGUAGGCCCCCUCCUCCCCGACCACGGUGUGAAGCGGAGGAAAUACCCAUUUGGGGAAGUGAGUGUCCAAGUGUCUCUAAGGCUGAUUCCCAGAUGCUCCCGCCCCACAUCCACCCACAGGGAAAAGGAAGAGAAACCUCUUCCCACAGCAGCGCUUUCUUCAUUUGCCGCAGAAAAAGGAUCGCGGUUCCCGGAGCAAGUGCAACCCAGCCGAGCUGGGAGGCUCUCGGCCACCAAGAGAGCACUUCCGGCACUUCAACAGGCCAGGCCUCGGCCUUCCUCCUUACUGCUUGUCUGCAACCUACUAUUUUGCGAUUCCCAAAGACAUUCCUAGUUUCCCAAAACAGAACCACUUAUUAUUUCAGUCUGCGUUAG
rnacentral:lncRNA from 1 species